UAGGCGGGCAGGCGCGACGAGCAAGAAGAGAGCGAGACAGCGAAUGGUAAUAUAUAAGUAUCGCCAGUAGAGAGUACCUUACUACUUGGAGAACGGUGGUAAUUCUAGAGCUAAUACAUGCUAAAAAUCCCGACUUACGAAGGGAUGUAUUUAUUAGAUUAAAAACCAAUGCCCUUCGGGGCUCACUGGUGAUUCAUAAUAACUUCUCGAAUCGCAUGGCCUUGCGCCGGCGAUGGUUCAUUCAAAUUUCUUCCCUAUCAACUUUCGAUGCUAGAGUAGUGUUCUAGCAUGGUUACAACGGGUAACGGAGGGUUAGGGCUCGACCCCGGAGAAGGAGCCUGAGAAACGGCUACUACAUCCAAGGAAGGCAGCAGGCGCGCAAAUUACCCAAUCCCGACACGGGGAGGUAGUGACGAUAAAUACUGAUACAGGGCUCUUUUGGGUCUUGUAAUUGGAAUGAGUACAAUUUAAAUCCCUUAACGAGGAACAAUUGGAGGGCAAGUCUGGUGCCAGCAGCCGCGGUAAUUCCAGCUCCAAUAGCGUAUAUUAAAGUUGUUGUGGUUAAAAAGCUCGUAGUAGAGCCUUGGGCCUGGCUGGCCGGUCCGCCUCACCGCGUGCACUGGUCCGGCCGGGCCUUUCCCCCUGUGGAACCUCAUGCCCUUCACUGGGUGUGUGGGAAAACAGGACUUUUACUUUGAAAAAAAUUAGAGUGCUCCGGGCAGGCCUAUGCUCGAAUACAUUAGCAUGGAAUAAUAGAAUAGGACGUGUGGUUCUAUUUUGUUGGUUUUCAGGACCGCCGUAAUGAUUAAUAGGGACAGUCGGGGGCAUCAGUAUUCAAUUGUCAGAGGUGAAAUUCUUGGAUUUAUUGAAGACUAACUACUGCGAAAGCAUUUGCCAAGGAUGUUUUCAUUUAUCAGGAACGAAAGUUAGGGGAUCGAAGACGAUCAGAUACCGUCGUAGUCUUAACCAUAAACUAUGCCGACUAGGGAUCGGACGAUGUUAUUUUUUGACUCGUUCGGCACCU
rnacentral:rRNA from 1 species